rnacentral:rRNA from 1 species
UUAAGCGACUAAGCGUACACGGUGGAUGCCCUGGCAGUCAGAGGCGAUGAAGGACGUGCUAAUCUGCGAUAAGCGUCGGUAAGGUGAUAUGAACCGUUAUAACCGGCGAUUUCCGAAUGGGGAAACCCAGUGUGUUUCGACACACUAUCAUUAACUGAAUCCAUAGGUUAAUGAGGCGAACCGGGGGAACUGAAACAUCUAAGUACCCCGAGGAAAAGAAAUCAACCGAGAUUCCCCCAGUAGCGGCGAGCGAACGGGGAGCAGCCCAGAGCCUGAAUCAGUAUGUGUGUUAGUGGAAGCGUCUGGAAAGGCGCGCGAUACAGGGUGACAGCCCCGUACACAAAAAUGCACAUAUUGUGAGCUCGAUGAGUAGGGCGGGACACGUGGUAUCCUGUCUGAAUAUGGGGGACCAUCCUCCAAGGCUAAAUACUCCUGACUGACCGAUAGUGAACCAGUACCGUGAGGGAAAGGCGAAAAGAACCCCGGCGAGGGGAGUGAAAAAGAACCUGAAACCGUGUACGUACAAGCAGUGGGAGCACGCUUAGGCGUGUGACUGCGUACCUUUUGUAUAAUGGGUCAGCGACUUAUAUUCUGUAGCAAGGUUAACCGAAUAGGGGAGCCGAAGGGAAACCGAGUCUUAACUGGGCGUUAAGUUGCAGGGUAUAGACCCGAAACCCGGUGAUCUAGCCAUGGGCAGGUUGAAGGUUGGGUAACACUAACUGGAGGACCGAACCGACUAAUGUUGAAAAAUUAGCGGAUGACUUGUGGCUGGGGGUGAAAGGCCAAUCAAACCGGGAGAUAGCUGGUUCUCCCCGAAAGCUAUUUAGGUAGCGCCUCGUGAAUUCAUCUCCGGGGGUAGAGCACUGUUUCGGCAAGGGGGUCAUCCCGACUUACCAACCCGAUGCAAACUGCGAAUACCGGAGAAUGUUAUCACGGGAGACACACGGCGGGUGCUAACGUCCGUCGUGAAGAGGGAAACAACCCAGACCGCCAGCUAAGGUCCCAAAGUCAUGGUUAAGUGGGAAACGAUGUGGGAAGGCCCAGACAGCCAGGAUGUUGGCUUAGAAGCAGCCAUCAUUUAAAGAAAGCGUAAUAGCUCACUGGUCGAGUCGGCCUGCGCGGAAGAUGUAACGGGGCUAAACCAUGCACCGAAGCUGCGGCAGCGACACUAUGUGUUGUUGGGUAGGGGAGCGUUCUGUAAGCCUGUGAAGGUGUGCUGUGAGGCAUGCUGGAGGUAUCAGAAGUGCGAAUGCUGACAUAAGUAACGAUAAAGCGGGUGAAAAGCCCGCUCGCCGGAAGACCAAGGGUUCCUGUCCAACGUUAAUCGGGGCAGGGUGAGUCGACCCCUAAGGCGAGGCCGAAAGGCGUAGUCGAUGGGAAACAGGUUAAUAUUCCUGUACUUGGUGUUACUGCGAAGGGGGACGGAGAAGGCUAUGUUGGCCGGGCGACGGUUGUCCCGGUUUAAGCGUGUAGGCUGGUUUUCCAGGCAAAUCCGGAAAAUCAAGGCUGAGGCGUGAUGACGAGGCACUACGGUGCUGAAGCAACAAAUGCCCUGCUUCCAGGAAAAGCCUCUAAGCAUCAGGUAACAUCAAAUCGUACCCCAAACCGACACAGGUGGUCAGGUAGAGAAUACCAAGGCGCUUGAGAGAACUCGGGUGAAGGAACUAGGCAAAAUGGUGCCGUAACUUCGGGAGAAGGCACGCUGAUAUGUAGGUGAAGUCCCUCGCGGAUGGAGCUGAAAUCAGUCGAAGAUACCAGCUGGCUGCAACUGUUUAUUAAAAACACAGCACUGUGCAAACACGAAAGUGGACGUAUACGGUGUGACGCCUGCCCGGUGCCGGAAGGUUAAUUGAUGGGGUUAGCCGCAAGGCGAAGCUCUUGAUCGAAGCCCCGGUAAACGGCGGCCGUAACUAUAACGGUCCUAAGGUAGCGAAAUUCCUUGUCGGGUAAGUUCCGACCUGCACGAAUGGCGUAAUGAUGGCCAGGCUGUCUCCACCCGAGACUCAGUGAAAUUGAACUCGCUGUGAAGAUGCAGUGUACCCGCGGCAAGACGGAAAGACCCCGUGAACCUUUACUAUAGCUUGACACUGAACAUUGAGCCUUGAUGUGUAGGAUAGGUGGGAGGCUUUGAAGUGUGGACGCCAGUCUGCAUGGAGCCGACCUUGAAAUACCACCCUUUAAUGUUUGAUGUUCUAACGUUGACCCGUAAUCCGGGUUGCGGACAGUGUCUGGUGGGUAGUUUGACUGGGGCGGUCUCCUCCUAAAGAGUAACGGAGGAGCACGAAGGUUGGCUAAUCCUGGUCGGACAUCAGGAGGUUAGUGCAAUGGCAUAAGCCAGCUUGACUGCGAGCGUGACGGCGCGAGCAGGUGCGAAAGCAGGUCAUAGUGAUCCGGUGGUUCUGAAUGGAAGGGCCAUCGCUCAACGGAUAAAAGGUACUCCGGGGAUAACAGGCUGAUACCGCCCAAGAGUUCAUAUCGACGGCGGUGUUUGGCACCUCGAUGUCGGCUCAUCACAUCCUGGGGCUGAAGUAGGUCCCAAGGGUAUGGCUGUUCGCCAUUUAAAGUGGUACGCGAGCUGGGUUUAGAACGUCGUGAGACAGUUCGGUCCCUAUCUGCCGUGGGCGCUGGAGAACUGAGGGGGGCUGCUCCUAGUACGAGAGGACCGGAGUGGACGCAUCACUGGUGUUCGGGUUGUCAUGCCAAUGGCACUGCCCGGUAGCUAAAUGCGGAAGAGAUAAGUGCUGAAAGCAUCUAAGCACGAAACUUGCCCCGAGAUGAGUUCUCCCUGACUCCUUGAGAGUCCUGAAGGAACGUUGAAGACGACGACGUUGAUAGGCCGGGUGUGUAAGCGCAGCGAUGCGUUGAGCUAACCGGUACUAAUGAACCGUGAGGCUUAACCUU